GGGCCCGUAGUUCAGUUGGUUAGAAUGCCUGCUUUGCAAGCAGGAGGUCAGCGGUUCGACUCCGCUCGGGUCCACCA
rnacentral:tRNA from 1 species